GCCUGGGUAGCUCAGUCAGUUAAGCGUCUGACUUCAGCUCAGGUCAUGAUCCCACGGUUUGUGGGUUCGAGCCCCGUGUCUGGCU
rnacentral:tRNA from 1 species